CGCCUACGGGAGGCAGCAGUAGGGAAUUUUCGUCAAUGGGCGCAAGCCUGAACGAGCAAUGCCGCGUGAACGAGGAAGGUCUUCGGAUCGUAAAGUUCUGUUGAAGGGGAAAAAGAGCGGAGAGAGGAAAUGCUUUCUGAUUGAUAUUACCCUUCGAGGAAGUCACGGCUAACUACGUGCCAGCAGCCGCGGUAAUACGUAGGUGGCGAGCGUUAUCCGGAAUGAUUGGGCGUAAAGGGUGCGUAGGCGGUCUUUUAAGUCUGAUGUGAAAGCCUUCGGCUUAACCGGCGUAGUGCAUUGGAAAC
rnacentral:rRNA from 1 species